UUAUUCUAUUCUUAAUUAAUUUAUAUUUUUUAUUUAAAAUUUAAAUUAUUUCAAACUUAAAUUUCUUAUCUAUUCUAAUUUUGUUUUUUUUUUAUUUUGUUAGAUUUCAGUGCGUUAAGAGCUAUAAUAUAUUGAGAAAAAAAUUUCUGACGAUAUAAAGCAAUUGAUGAAAGCCCUAUAAACAUUCAAAGAAGGGGCAUUAAAGUUAUAGGAUUUAUCAGUGAAAGAGAGUUAAUGUAUAGGAAUUAGAAAGUUAAUUUUAAGUCUCUUUGUCUUUGUAGAUCAUAUUAUUCUCCCAUUGCUAUGAUAAAUGUAUAUUUAAACCCAUUUAACGAAACAUAGAGUAGGGCUUUCCACUAUCAUUUUAUACAUUGUAAGUACUUUUCGAUUUUUUCGCGUAUUCUAAUGAAUGAAAGCUAAUUAUGAUAUCAUUUUGAUUAAUUGUUAUAUAUAUUGAUUUACUUUUAUAGAAUUGCCCGCUGCAACGCACCGGUAUCUACACUAGUAUAUAUAUUAAUUUGAUAUCUUCUAUUUCCAAGGAAAACAAAUUCUUAAAAAAAACAUAAUAUUUGAGGUUAAAUUUUUUGAUUUUUUUAAUAUUAUUUAUUUGUAAUUAAAAGAAUUCAAAAUCACCAAUUUUAAUGGCUGAUGUGAGCCGCCUACCCGUCUGCAAGUUUGAUGGUAUAAAAAUAUCCAUAUCAGAUGAAAGUUUGACAAAAAAAUUUUUGUACUAUCCAAAAUAAUAUCAAUAUCUUUGAUCGAAAAUUUUAAUACUGUAUCAUCACUUUUUGUGAGAUUUUUAGUUUGAUCCGUCGUUUUGAGCCUUUCAAUUACUAGAUAAAUAAUGUCAAAAAAUUAUAAAAUUUAUUUUUUAGAUAAUUUAAAUAUUCCAAAUCAAGUCUAAUUAAAUAGAUUGUCAAUUCGAAAGUCACAUCAUGAGAAAUAAUUUGAAAGCACUGAGGCCUCCGUACUUCUAAAAACACCUUAGCUGGACUCAAUAAAUGUACGUCAGUACAUUUACUUCUAAUUUGUUUGAUUUGAAUUAGUUAACAAUAUUUUGACUUCAAAUUUUGAAUCAAUAUUUUUUCUUUAUAAGUUUAGUUGGUAUGAUUCAUAUAAUUUUCGCAUAGAUUUUUGGGCAAGUAGACCAAAGCAAUGAAUUUAUUCGUCGCUAAAAAUAAUUCGACAUUUUUAUAUAAUUUUAUAAAAAUAAUUCGGUAUUUUUUUAUAAAAUUUUUUAAUUCUAA
rnacentral:lncRNA from 1 species